rnacentral:rRNA from 1 species
GACGAACGCUGGCGGCGUGCUUAACACAUGCAAGUCGAACGAAGUGGCGAACGGGUGAGUAACGCGUAAUCAACCUGCCCUUCAGAGGGGGACAACAGUUGGAAACGACUGCUAAUACCGCAUACUGAAGGAGGGGAUUGCGUCUGAUUAGCUAGUUGGAGGGGUAACGGCCCCACAAGGCGAUGAUCAGUAGCCGGGUUGAAGGGGUUAACGGCCAAAUUGGGAACGAGACCCGGGCCAGAAUCCUACGGGAGGCAGCAGUUGGGAAGCUUCCGAAAUGGACGAAAGUCUGACGGAGCAACGCCGCGGGAGUGAUGACGGCCUUCGGGUUGUAAAGCUCUUUUAAUCGGGACGCGGUACCGGAAUAGAAAGCCACGGCUAACUACGUGCCAGCAGCCGCGGUAAUAC